UUUACAUAGAGUUUGAUCCUGGCUCAGGACGAACGCUGGCGGUGCGCCUAAUGCAUGCAAGUCGAACGGGCGAAGGGGCUUCGGCCCCCUAGCUAGUGGCAGACGGCUGAGUAACACGUAAGUUACCUACCCCGAAGAGGGGGAUAAACUCGGGAAACCGGGUCUAAUACCCCGUACGUUCUUCGCACUCCGGUGCGGAGAAGAAAGGUUCCGGCCGCUUCGGGAGGGGCUUGCGGCCUAUCAGGUAGUUGGUGGGGUAAUGGCCCACCAAGCCUAAGACGGGUAACCGGUGUGAGAGCACGAUCGGUCAGAGGGGGACUGAGACACGGCCCCCACUCCUACGGGAGGCAGCAGCAGGGAAUCUUGCGCAAUGGGCGAAAGCCUGACGCAGCGACACCGCGUGGGGGAAGAAGGCUUUCGGGUUGUAAACCCCUUUUCUCGGGGAAGAGAAAGGACGGUACCCGAGGAAUAAGGUUCGGCUAACUACGUGCCAGCAGCC
rnacentral:rRNA from 1 species